rnacentral:rRNA from 1 species
GUGUCAGCCGCCGCGGUAAUACGUAGGUGGCGAGCGUUGUCCGGAAUUACUGGGUGUAAAGGGCGUGUAGGCGGGGAUGCAAGUCAGAUGUGAAAUACCGGAGCUUAACUCCGGAGCUGCAUCUGAAACUGUGUUUCUUGAGUGCCGGAGAGGAAAGCGGAAUUCCCAGUGUAGCGGUGCAAUGCGUAGAUAUUGGGAGGAACACCAGUGGCGAAGGCGGCUUUCUGGACGGUAACUGACGCUGAGGCGCGAAAGCGUGGGGAGCAAACAGGAUUAGAUACCCUGGUAGUCCACGCUGUAAACGAUGGAUACUAGGUGUAGGAGGUAUCGACCCCUUCUGUGCCGGAGUUAACACAAUAAGUAUCCCACCUGGGGAGUACGGCCGCAAGGUUGAAACUUAAAGGAAUUGACGG